ACUGAAACAACGUCUCAAAUAAUCUUCAGGACAAUAAACAUUGUGUUAUCCGUGAAAGUGUUGAAAAAAACCAUUUAAAGAUUUUGAUCGUGAGUUUUGAUUGCAAGUUCCCGCGGUUAAUUUGGUAGCGCUGUACUAAUUUUGUGAAUCUUUAUGUGAGGAAUUUGAACAGUCAUUCUGGAGGUGUGGACUGUGGUUG